UACGGGGGGGGCAAGCGUUGUUCGGAAUUACUGGGCGUAAAGGGUGUGUAGGUGGCGCGCUAAGUCGGGUGUGAAAUUUCGGAGCUUAACUCCGAAACUGCAUUCGAUACUGGCGUGCUUGAGGACUGGAGAGGAGACUGGAAUUCAUGGUGUAGCAGUGAAAUGCGUAGAGAUCAUGAGGAAGACCAGUGGCAAAGGCGGGUCUCUGGACAGUUCCUGACACUGAGACACGAAGGCCAGGGGAGCAAACGGG
rnacentral:rRNA from 1 species